GAUGAACGCUGGCGGCGUGCCUAAUACAUGCAAGUCGAGCGAACAGACGAGGAGCUUGCUCCUCUGACGUUAGCGGCGGACGGGUGAGUAACACGGGGAUAACCUACCUAUAAGACUGGGAUAAUUUCGGGAAACCGGAGCUAAUACCGGAUAAUUUAUUGAACCGCAUUGUUCAAUAGUUAAAGACGGUUUUGCUGUCACUUAUAGAUGGAUCCGCGCCGCAUUAGCUAGUGGGCAAGGUAACGGCUUACCCAGGCAACGAUGCGUAGCCGACCUGAGAGGGUGGUCGGACACCCUGGCAGUGAGACACGGUACAGACUCCGACAGGAAGAAGCAGUAGGGAAUCUUCCGCAAUGGGGGAGAGCCUGACGGAGCAACGCCGCGUGAGUGAUGAAGGUCUUAGGAUCGUAAAACUCUGUUAUUAGGGAAGAACAAAUGUGUAAGUAACUAUGCACGUAUUGACGGUACCUAGUCAGAAAGCCACGGCUAACUACGUG
rnacentral:rRNA from 1 species